GACGAACGCUGGCGGCGUGCUUAACACAUGCAAGUCGAACGAUGAAGCCCAGCUUGCUGGGUGGAUUAGUGGCGAACGGGUGAGUAACACGUGGGCAACCUGCCCCAAACUCUGGGAUAACUCCUCGACAGAGGUGCUAAUACCGGAUACGACCUAGACAGACAUCUGUACUAGUUGGAAAGUCUUUCGGUUUGGGAUGGGCCCGCGGCCUAUCAGCUUGUUGGUGAGGUAACGGCUCACCAAGGCUACGACGGGUAACCGGCCUGAGAGGGCGACCGGUCACACUGGGACUGAGACACGGCCCAGACUCCUACGGGAGGCAGCAGUGGGGAAUAUUGCGCAACGGGCGAAAGCCUGUCGCAGCGACGCCGCGUGAGGGAUGAAGGUCUUCGGAUCGUAAACCUCUUUCAGUAGGGGCGAAGCGAAAGUGACGGUACCUAAAGAAGAAGCACCGGCUAACUACGUGCCAGCAGCCGCGGUAA
rnacentral:rRNA from 1 species